rnacentral:rRNA from 1 species
GACGAACGCUGGCGGCGUGCUUAACACAUGCAAGUCGAACGGAAAGGCCCUGCUUUUGUGGGGUGCUCGAGUGGCGAACGGGUGAGUAACACGUGAGUAACCUGCCCUUGACUUUGGGAUAACUUCAGGAAACUGGGGCUAAUACCGGAUAGGAGCUCCUGCUGCAUGGUGGGGGAUGGAAAGUUUCGGCGGUUGGGGAUGGACUCGCGGCUUAUCAGCUUGUUGGUGGGGUAGUGGCUUACCAAGGCUUUGACGGGUAGCCGGCCUGAGAGGGUGACCGGCCACAUUGGGACUGAUAUACGGCCCAGACUCCUACGGGAGUCAGCAGUGGGGAAUAUUGCACAAUGGGCGGAAGCCUGAUGCAGCAACGCCGCGUGCGGGAUGACGGCCUUCGGUUUGUAAACCGCUUUCGCCUGUGACGAAGCGUGAGUGACGGUAAUGGGUAAAGAAGCACCGGCUAACUACGUG